rnacentral:rRNA from 1 species
GACGAACGCUGGCGGCGUGCCUAAUACAUGCAAGUCGAACGCAGUGGGGACGGGUGCGUAACACCUGGGUAACCUCCCAUCAGAGGGGAUAACACUUGGAAACAGGUGCUAACCCGCUACUGAUGGAUGGACCCGCGGUGCAUUAGCUACUUGGUGGGGUAACGGCUCACCAAGGCCACGAUGCAUAGCCGGCCUGAGAGGGUGAUCGGCCACACUGGGACUGAGACACGGCCCAGACUCCUACGGGAGGCAGCAGUGGGGAAUCUUGGGCAAUGGACGAAAGUCUGACGGAGCAACGCCGCGUGAGUGAAGAAGGUUUUCGGAUCGUAAAACUCUGUUGUUAGAGAAGCGGUAUCUAAACAGAAAGCCACGGCUAACUACGUGCCAGCAGCCGCGGUAAUUC